AACGCUGGCGGCAGGCUUAACACAUGCAAGUCGAGCGGGGAGAUGUAGCUUGCUACAUUUCCUAGCGGCGGACGGGUGAGUAAUGCUUAGGAAUCUGCCUAUUAGUGGGGGGCAACAUUCCGAAAGGAAUGCUAAUACCGCAUACGCCCUACGGGGGAAAGCAGGGGAUCUUCGGACCUUGCGCUAAUAGAUGAGCCUAAGUCAGAUUAGCUAGUUGGUGGGGUAAAGGCCUACCAAGGCGACGAUCUGUAGCGGGUCUGAGAGGAUGAUCCGCCACACUGGGACUGAGACACGGCCCAGACUCCUACGGGAGGCAGCAGUGGGGAAUAUUGGACAAUGGGCGAAAGCCUGAUCCAGCCAUGCCGCGUGUGUGAAGAAGGCCUUUUGGUUGUAAAGCACUUUAAGCGAGGAGGAGGCUACUUAGAUUAAUACUCUAGGAUAGUGGACGUUACUCGCAGAAUAAGCACCGGCUAACUCUGUGCCAGCAGCCGCGGUAAUACAGAGGGUGCGAGCGUUAAUCGGAUUUACUGGGCGUAAAGCGUGCGUAGGCGGCUUUUUAAGUCGGAUGUGAAAUCCCUGAGCUUAACUUAGGAAUUGCAUUCGAUACUGGGAAGCUAGAGUAUGGGAGAGGAUGGUAGAAUUCCA
rnacentral:rRNA from 1 species